GGGAACCACUCAUACAGCAUUAUGGGAAAGCCUACCGAAGACACAGCGCCUAUGGCAGGCUUGCAGCAUCCAGGAGGUUUCCCAAUUCCCUACACAGCAGGAGCCACCUGGGAACAAACCAGCACCACAGAAACCCAGGCGCGGACGAGCGCCCGGGAAGGGCCAUCUUUGGAUUGGCGCAUCCUACCCUCAGCUAGCCUACC
rnacentral:lncRNA from 1 species